GCCGCCUGGGCCGGGUCCGCGGCGCCUGAUGCGGCGGCUCCGCAACCUCGCAGCCGGGACGGAGGCUCGCUCCGCGGAGAGACGAGCGAAGCGCGCUGCGGGCCAGAGCCCGUGGGAGCCCCGGAUCCGCCCCGCGAGGCCGCCGCGAACGCGUUCUCUCGGGCCUCCGCGCUCUCCUUUUCCCGCUCUCCCGGCUGCCGGAAGUCGUGCGCAGGGAGGCGACCGAGGAGGACAGGUGCAAAAGGCGGGGGGCGCGCAGACGCCGCCCCGGGGCCGGUCCUCCCGGGAGACCGCGCGGGCGGUGCACCUGCCGCCCUCCCCCGCCUCACCACCACCCCCCGCCCGGGCGGCAGGCGCCGCGCCCCUCCCUCCAGCCCCAGGAGUGCACCUGCGAGGCUGACGGCGCGGACGUGGCUCUUUGGGUAGAGACAGUGUGGUUCUCCAGCCUCUCCAAUUAGAGGCUAGAAGGACGCUGGCAACAGUGAAAAAGCCACCCAAGUCUCGGCUCAAGACGUUAGAAGACGAACAGCGUGAUAAACCAGAAGACUCGGAAUAGACUAAAAGAAGGGAGCGCUGAGAAAGACGAAUGCAGAAAAUGACGACUUUUAAAAAGUGGAACUAAUAAAGAACCUAGAUGUUUGAAAAGGCAACAGAAGAGUCAAGCUUCCAGCUAACCUAAUUAAGAAAGAGAAAAUCAGGACCGCAGCCGAGUCCCCAUCAAAACAAGAGGGCUUUUAAAGGCGUGAGAAGCAUCGUAGCACAGUUCAGCAAAUGAUUUAAAAACUUAGAUGAAGUGGAUUUUGUAAAUAUCAUAUCCAAGUUAAUCCUUGUACAGACGGGAGGCAAGCAGGCUAUUACUCCAGAAAAACAGAGAAAGUAGUUGAACAGGCACGCCCCCCAAAAGGGCACCAGGCAAAAAUACAUUCACAAGCAAAUUCUACCAAACUGUUAAAUAUCAAAAAGUCAUGAUGCUACUUAGAUUAUUCAAAGCAUAGAAAAAGAAGAAAAACUUCCUAUUCGGUGCAUAAAGAAGAGAAAAACAUGUCAGAGACAGAGACACACAGAGAAAAGGAGGCUGUGCCACGAUGCAGGCAGAGAUUGGAAGUGGAGGGGUACCGGGAGCUGCCGGAAAGGAAGAUGAGGCGAAGAAGGAGGCUCAGAGGGAGCAUAACCCAGCUGACACUUGAUUUUGUACUUCCAGCCUAGAUAACUGUAAGAGAAUAAAUUCCUGUUGUUUUAAGCUA